UCGCAAUAUCCUCUCUCUCAUUCCUUUUUUAUGUUUAUCAAAUAAGGGGGAGAAAAGAGAUAAACGCAUCAACGUCUAGGAGCACGUACUCAGGGUGAGUACGCUAGAUGAUAGGAUAGAAUAGGAUAACACAGAAUCAGGGGGAGUCUCCAGAUUCUUAAAAGUUCAUGCAUAACUUUUUACACAUUCAUGUAAUAUGUCUAUGUGUUUAAAUAUCAAUCUUUUAUUUAAUUUUUGCUCUAAUUUUAGUUUUUUUUUUCUUUAUUUUGUUUACCAUGCUUUAAUUAUUUUGUCUUUAUUUAUUUCAUCUGUUUGGAUCACUAACCUGCAUGCAUAAUACAAAACAAUAAUAGAG
rnacentral:lncRNA from 1 species